rnacentral:lncRNA from 1 species
UAUAUUGUAGAUUUGGGUUUGUGAUUUAGAAAUUAGGAUAACAAGAAUAUUUGUGGAUAUAAGAGUAUUAUUUCAGAAUUUUUCAACAAUAUAUUGUAUUUUAAAAUAAUUUUCAUAGAAGCUGCUAUUUUUGGAAAGUUUUCAUUUUUUUGAAAAAUACUGUAGAUUUGGGUUUGUGAUUUAGAAAUUAGGAUAACAAGAAUGUUAGUGGAUAGAUAAGUAUUCUUUCAGAGUUUUUCAUCAAUAGAUUGUAUUUUUAAAUAAUUAUAAUAAAAACUGCUAUUUUUGGAAAGUUUUCACUUUUUUAUUAAAUACUGUAGAUUUUGGUUUGUGAUUUAGAAAUUAUGAUAACAAGAAUAUUUGUGGAUAGAUGAGUAUUCUUUCAGAAUUUUUCAUCAAUAUAUUGUAUUUUUAAAUAAUUUUCUUAAAAGCUGCUAUUUUUGGAAAGUUUUCAUUUUUUGAGAAAUAUUGUUGAUUUGGGUUUGUGAUUUAGAAAUUAGGAUAACAAGAAUAUUUGUCGAUAGAUGAGUAUUCUUUGAGAAUUUUUCAUGAAGAAGUUGUAUUUUUAAAUAAUUUUCUUAAAAGCUGCUAUUUUUGGAAAGUUUUCAUUUUCUUGAGAAAUAUUGUAGAUUUGGGUUUGUGAUUUAGAAAUUUGGAAAACAAAAAUAUUUGUGGAUAGAUGAAUAUUCUUUCAGAAUGUUUUAUCAAUAUAUUGAAUUUUUAAAUAAUUUUUUUUAAAAACUGCUAUUUUUGGAAAGUUUUCAUUUUCUUGAGAAAUACUGUAGAUUUUGGUUUUUGAUUUAGAAAUUAUGAUAACAAGAAUAUUUGUGGACAGAUGAGUAUUCUUUCAGAAUUUUUCAUCAAUAUAUUGUAUUUUAAAAUA